CAUUUAUGGCCUUGAAGACGGAAAAUGGCCAUUUGGGGACAUACACAACAAAAUCCCCUACGUCACAGAACCCUUCAAAACCCCAACGAAGUCCUCCAGUUAAGCCACACUAUCUCAAGAUUUUUCUUCAGCCGGCAAACAUGUCCUCCGCUGCCGCCGCUAGGUCCCUCUUCCGAUCCACCGCCUCCGCCCGGAGCGCGGUGGCGAGAUUCUCCGGCUCAGCUAAGCCUAAGGGCGCCGCAAGGUCCCCCUUUCGCGUCCCGACGCAAAAACCCCUCUCUUCUCGGAUUUUCAGGUCUCCUGUGGAGAUGAGCUGCGUGCGCGUCGAUUCGAUGUUCCCGUUUCAUGCUGCCACUGCCUCUGCAUUGCUCACUUCAAUGCUUUCCGUCACUCCUCGCUGCUACGGUUGGACUCCUGAAGAUUGCAAAGAUGAUGUAUGAUGAAAGUUGGAAGGUUCGGGCAAAGUUUUGUGUACAUGCGCUCUAAAGAAUGCCUGAUACAUAGAAUGGAUGAUUAUUAGUUUGUUCGGAUGCUGCAUAUGGUCGCGUAGUUUCAUGGGUACGACAAACACUUUUGAGUGAGACAUUAUUGUCUGCUGGAUUCAUUUGAGGUCCCAAAGGUUUCUAGAUGUAUUGCGGUUGAUAAACUGAACAAGUACCAUAAUGUGAAAGGAUGAAAAGUUGGUCCUUGGGAAUAAUUUCCUUCCAAAAGUUGGUUGGUCCUGGUUGAUCUCUCACACAUGCUCCACCUCCUGCCCUUGGUUUUGGUUUUGGUUUGGUUGGAUGAAUUGACAAUUAAUUAAUUACCAAUUUUGGUUCCGGUUGAGAUAAGAGUUGUUUUUGGUGUUCUUUAGUUAGCUGGACAAGGCCCCUCCACUAAACCUCUCAAGAACUGGGCCGGCUUGUUAGUUUAAAAUGCGAGACCUGAUUGUGAUUGAGGCGUCAGGGACUAGUACUUGCUACCUACUUAUUUGAUGCAUUGAAAUACUCUUUGGAUCCCCGAAGAAGUUUUCUCAAUAAUCUCAGUAGAGUUUAUUUUUUGGUAUAAGAAUGCAACCCCAGUAGGCUUGUAGUAGUGCCAUAAACUGGGAAACUGGUGAUAUUUACUUAUUGGUGAUCAAACAUAGGAUUUGCUGGGAGAUUGGCAAA